rnacentral:rRNA from 1 species
UACGUAGGGUGCGAGCGUUGUCCGGAAUUAUUGGGCGUAAAGGGCUCGUAGGCGGUUUGUCGCGUCGGGAGUGAAAACCUUGGGCUUAACUCAGGGCUUGCUUUCGAUACGGGCAGACUAGAGGUAUGCAGGGGAGAACGGAAUUCCUGGUGUAGCGGUGAAAUGCGCAGAUAUCAGGAGGAACACCGGUGGCGAAGGCGGGUCUCUGGGCAACUACUGACGCUGAGGAGCGAAAGCGUGGGGAGCGAACAGG